rnacentral:lncRNA from 1 species
UUUCAAUUGGGUCAUUAAGGGUGACUAGGAGUUGCCAAUGGAUGGUAGAGAAAGGACUUUCAGUGGAUGAACUGCAUCUGAAAUUGGUCCAACCUGGCUGCACAAGGAACUCUUUGGUCAACACAAUUCUUAAAAUUAGAGGGUAUGAGAUGAGAAAGAGAACCAUCUGGGCAUAGAGAAUUGGCACCAAGCAAGAGCAAGGAACCAGACAUCAGUUACGGAAAAUGUAUCCCCACAUCACAUCAUGGGAGCCUAGCUCACAGACACUGCCAAUGGAAAUUGCAGAAAUAGAUCAACUGCAAAAGGUUACAUAGGGGACCCGCA